GGUUCCUUAGAUCGUACAUGCUACAUGGAUAACUGUAGUAAUUCUAGAGCUAAUACAUGCCACUAUGCCCUGACCCGAAAGGGAACGGGUGGAUUUAUUAGAACAGAACCAACCGGGAGCGGCUUCGGUCGUUCCUGUUGAACUCUGUGAUGACUCUGGAUAACUUUACUGAUCGCAGUCGGCCUUGUGUCGGCGACGGAUCUUUCAAAUGUCUGCCCUAUCAACUUUCGAUGGUAGGUGAUCUGCCUACCAUGGUGAUAACGGGUAACGGGGAAUCAGGGUUCGAUUCCGGAGAGGGAGCCUGAGAAACGGCUACCACAUCCAAGGAAGGCAGCAGGCGCGAAAAUUACCCACUCCCGGCACGGGGAGGUAGUGACGAAAAAUACGAAUACGGGACUCACUCGAGGCUCCGUAAUUCGAAUGAGUACAAUCUAAAUCCUUUAACGAGGACCAAUUGGAGGGCAAGUCUGGUGCCAGCAGCCGCGGUAACUCCAGCUCCAAAAGCGUAUAUUAAAGUUGCUGCAGUUAAAAAGCUCGUAGUUGGAUCUGGGUCGCGCGUUCACGUGUCGUUGCGUGGUUCUGGCUUCUGUCAGUCCUAUGUGAUGAUGAGGUGGGCGUGCAGCCUUUCAGCCGUGUCUGCGUGAGCAGGUGUUGGCUGGUCGGUGGGUUCGCUCGCUGGCUAGUUGGCAUGUUUC
rnacentral:rRNA from 1 species